AUUGAACGCUGGCGGCAGGCUUAACACAUGCAAGUCGAGCGGAGAUGAGGUGCUUGCACCUUAUCUUAGCGGCGGACGGGUGAGUAAUGCUUAGGAAUCUGCCUAUUAGUGGGGGACAACAUUCCGAAAGGAAUGCUAGUACCGCAUACGUCCUACGGGAGAAAGCAGGGGAUCUUCGGACCUUGCGCUAAUAGAUGAGCCUAAGUCGGAGUAGCUAGUUGGUGGGGUAAAGGCCUACCAAGGCGACGAUCUGUAGCGGGUCUGAGGGGAUGAUCCGCCACACUGGGACUGAGACACGGCCCAGACUCCUACGGGAGGCAGCAGUGGGGAAUAUUGGACAAUGGGGGGAACCCUGAUCCAGCCAUGCCGCGUGUGUGAAGAAGGCCUUAUGGUUGUAAAGUACUUUAAGCGAGGAGGAGGCUACUGAGACUAAUACUCUUGGAUAGUGGACGUUACUCGCAGAAUAAGCACCGGCUAACUCUGUGCCAGCCGCCGCGGUAACAC
rnacentral:rRNA from 1 species